GCAGACACAUUCCAGCCAAUCAGCAACAGACCCUCCCUCCCAGACCCUCCCACCUCCUGGACAGCUCACAAUGAAUGUAAAAUGGAUGCUGUCCAGGAGGUGGGAGGGACUGGAAGGGAGGGUCUGCUGCUGAUUGGCUGGAAUGUGUCUG